GACGAACGCUGGCGGCGUGCUUAACACAUGCAAGUCGAACGGAAAGGUCCCUUCGGGGAUACUCGAGUGGCGAACGGGUGAGUAACACGUGGGCAAUCUGCCCCAGACUUUGGGAUAACCCCGGGAAACCGGGGCUAAUACCGAAUAUGACCACUUCAGGCAUCUGACGGUGGUGGAAAGUUUUUCGGUCUGGGAUGAGCCCGCGGCCUAUCAGCUUGUUGGUGGGGUAAUGGCCUACCAAAGCGACGACGGGUAGCCGGCCUGAGAGGGCGACCGGCCACACUGGAACUGAGACACGGUCCAGACUCCUACGGGAGGCAGCAGUGGGGAAUAUUGCGCAAUGGGCGAAAGCCUGACGCAGCGACGCCGCGUGAGGGAUGACGGCCUUCGGGUUGUAAACCUCUUUCAGCAGGGACGAAGCGAAAGUGACUGUACCUGCAGAAGAAGCACCGGCUAACUACGUGCCAGCCGCCGCCGUAA
rnacentral:rRNA from 1 species